CCUACGGGUGGCUGCAGUGGGGAAUAUUGCACAAUGGGCGCAAGCCUGAUGCAGCCAUGCCGCGUGUGUGAAGAAGGCCUUCGGGUUGUAAAGCACUUUCAGCGGGGAGGAAGGCGGUGAGGUUAAUAACCUUACCGAUUGACGUUACCCGCAGAAGAAGCACCGGCUAACUCCGUGCCAGCAGACGCGGUAAUACGGAGGGUGCAGGCGUUAAUCGGAAUUGGUGGGCGUAAAGCGCAGGCAGGAAAUCCCCGGGCUCAACCUGGGAACUGCAUUCGAAACUGGCAGGCUAGAGUCUUGUAGAGGGGGGUAGAAUUCCAGGUGUAGCGGUGAAAUGCGUAGAGAUCUGGAGGAAUACCGGUGGCGAAGGCGGCCCCCUGGACAAAGACUGACGCUCAGGUGCGAAAGCGUGGGGAGCAAACAGGAUUAGAUACCCCUGUAGUC
rnacentral:rRNA from 1 species